rnacentral:rRNA from 1 species
GGUUAAGCGAAUAAGCGUACACGGUGGAUGCCUAGGCAAUCAGAGGCGAUGAAGGACGUGCUAAUCUGCGAAAAGCGUCGGUAAGGUGAUAUGAACCGUUAUACCCGACGAUAUCCGAAUGGGGAAACCCAGUAUCCAAUGGAUACUAUCAUUAACUGAAUCCAUAGGUUAAUGAGGCGAACCGGGAGAACUGAAACAUCUCAGUACCCCGAGGAAAAGAAAUCAACCGAGAUUCCCCUAGUAGCGGCGAGCGAACGGGGAGCAGCCCAGAGUCUUAAUCAAUAACAGUGUCAGGAGAACGGUCUGGAAAGUCCGGCAGUAAAGGGUGAUAGCCCCGUAUCUGAAGAUGCUGUUAUUGUGAACUCGACGAGUAGGGCGGGACACGUGUUAUCCUGUCUGAAUAUGGGGGGACCAUCCUCCAAGGCUAAAUACUCCUGAUUGACCGAUAGUGAACCAGUACCGUGAGGGAAAGGCGAAAAGAACCCCGGCGAGGGGAGUGAAAAAGAACCUGAAACCGUGUACGUACAAGCAGUAGGAGCCUCUUUAUGGGGUGACUGCGUACCUUUUGUAUAAUGGGUCAGCGACUUAUAUUCUGUAGCAAGGUUAACCGUAUAGGGGAGCCGUAGGGAAACCGAGUCUUAACUGGGCGAAUGAGUUGCAGGGUAUAGACCCGAAACCCGGUGAUCUAUCCAUGGGCAGGUUGAAGGUUGGGUAACACUAACUGGAGGACCGAACCGACUAAUGUUGAAAAAUUAGCGGAUGACUUGUGGAUGGGGGUGAAAGGCCAAUCAAACCGGGAGAUAGCUGGUUCUCCCCGAAAGCUAUUUAGGUAGCGCCUCGUGAACUCAUCUUCGGGGGUAGAGCACUGUUUCGACUAGGGGGUCAUCCCGACUUACCAACUCGAUGCAAACUGCGAAUACCGAAGAAUGUUAUCACGGGAGACACACGGCGGGUGCUAACGUCCGUCGUGAAGAGGGAAACAACCCAGACCGCCAGCUAAGGUCCCAAAGUCAUGGUUAAGUGGGAAACGAAGUGGGAAGGCUCAGACAGCCAGGAUGUUGGCUUAGAAGCAGCCAUCAUUUAAAGAAAGCGUAAUAGCUCACUGGUCGAGUCGGCCCGCGCGGAAGAUGUAACGGGGCUAAACCAUGCACCGAAGCUGCGGCAGCGACACAAAGUGUUGUUGGGUAGGGGAGCGUUCUGUAAGCCUGCGAAGGUGUACUGUGAGGUAUGCUGGAGGUAUCAGAAGUGCGAAUGCUGACAUAAGUAACGAUAAUGCGGGUGAAAAACCCGCACGCCGGAAGACCAAGGGUUCCUGUCCAACGUUAAUCGGGGCAGGGUGAGUCGACCCCUAAGGCGAGGCUGAAAAGCGUAGUCGAUGGGAAACGGGUUAAUAUUCCCGUACUGGUGGUAACUGCGAUGGGGGAACGGAGAAGGCUAGGUUGUCCGGGCGACGGUCGUCCCGGUUCAAGCAGGUAGGCAGAGUGAUUAGGCAAAUCCGGUCACUUAAUGCUGAGAUGUGAUGACGAACCACCAAGGUGGUGAAGCAAUUGAUGCCCCGCUUCCAGGAAAAGCCUCUAAGCUUCAGGUUACCAACAAUCGUACCCCAAACCGACACAGGUGGUCAGGUAGAGAAUACUCAGGCGCUUGAGAGAACUCGGGUGAAGGAACUAGGCAAAAUGGUGCCGUAACUUCGGGAGAAGGCACGCUGGCGGUAGGUAAAGUCCCUCGCGGACAGAGCUGAAGCCAGUCGAAGAUACCAGCUGGCUGCAACUGUUUAUUAAAAACACAGCACUGUGCAAACACGAAAGUGGACGUAUACGGUGUGACGCCUGCCCGGUGCUGGAAGGUUAAUUGAUGGGGUUAGCGCAAGCGAAGCUCCUGAUCGAAGCCCCAGUAAACGGCGGCCGUAACUAUAACGGUCCUAAGGUAGCGAAAUUCCUUGUCGGGUAAGUUCCGACCUGCACGAAUGGCGUAAUGAUGGCCAGGCUGUCUCCACCCGAGACUCAGUGAAAUUGAACUCGCUGUGAAGAUGCAGUGUACCCGCGGCAAGACGGAAAGACCCCGUGAACCUUUACUAUAGCUUGACACUGAACAUUGAGCCUUGAUGUGUAGGAUAGGUGGGAGGCUUUGAAGUGUGGACGCCAGUCUGCAUGGAGCCAACCUUGAAAUACCACCCUUUAACGUUUGAUGUUCUAACCUAGGCCCAUAAACUGGGUCGGGGACCGUGUCUGGUGGGUAGUUUGACUGGGGCGGUCUCCUCCUAAAGAGUAACGGAGGAGCACGAAGGUUGGCUAAGCAUGGUCGGACAUCAUGCGGUUAGUGCAAAGGCAUAAGCCAGCUUGACUGCGAGAGUGACGGCUCGAGCAGGUACGAAAGUAGGUCUUAGUGAUCCGGUGGUUCUGAAUGGAAGGGCCAUCGCUCAACGGAUAAAAGGUACUCCGGGGAUAACAGGCUGAUACCGCCCAAGAGUUCAUAUCGACGGCGGUGUUUGGCACCUCGAUGUCGGCUCAUCACAUCCUGGGGCUGAAGUAGGUCCCAAGGGUAUGGCUGUUCGCCAUUUAAAGUGGUACGCGAGCUGGGUUUAGAACGUCGUGAGACAGUUCGGUCCCUAUCUGCCGUGGGCGUUGGAAGAUUGAGAGGGGUUGCUCCUAGUACGAGAGGACCGGAGUGAACGCACCACUGGUGUUCGGGUUGUCAUGCCAAUGGCAUUGCCCGGUAGCUAAGUGCGGAAGAGAUAACCGCUGAAAGCAUCUAAGCGGGAAACUUGCCUCGAGAUGAGUCUUCCCUGUCGCUUUAAGCGACCUAAAGGAACGUUUAAGACUAAGACGUUGAUAGGCUGGGUGUGUAAGCGUAGCGAUACGUUGAGCUAACCAGUACUAAUGAACCGUGAGGCUUAACCUG